AAAAAAAAAAAAAAAGCUUUAAACGACGAGAAUUAUUUUUCAGAAACAAAAAAUGUUCAAAACCACUCGUAAAGUCUUUAACAACGUGUUUAACAGCUUGUUAUAUUAUGUAUUGUUUGAAAUCUUCAUUUUAAAGUAAGCUGUCAAAUAAAUGCAAUGCAGUAUAACAUACAAUAUUUCUCUCUGAAAUGAACAAGAGUAGAAUUUUGAAGUAGUGUUAAGUGCUUUUAUGUUGUGAAAUAAAAAAGAAAUAUUGAUAUUUACAGUAUUUGUAUUUGUGAGUAUUUUAUGUGUAGUGUAAACUGUCCAGCCUGCAGAAGAGGAGUUAUGUACAUCUUGGGGAGCAUAUUCCUCUCUUAAGUGGAGAACAAAAUAUGCUUAUUUAGUGUAUAAGUAUGUUU
rnacentral:misc_RNA from 1 species